rnacentral:rRNA from 1 species
UACGGAGGUGGCAAGCGUUGCUCGGAAUCACUGGGCGUAAAGGGCGCGUAGGCGGGGAGGUAAGUCGGGUGUGAAAUCCCUCGGCCCAACCGAGGAACUGCGCCCGAGACUGCUUCUCUUGAGUCCCGGAGAGGAAGGUGGAAUUCCAGGUGUAGCGGUGAAAUGUGUAGAGAUCGGGAGGAACACCGGUGGCGAAGGCGGCCUUCUGGACGGUGACUGACGCUGAGGCGCGAAAGCGUGGGGAGCAAACGGG